rnacentral:rRNA from 1 species
CUUAACACAUGCAAGUCGAGGGGCAGCAUGGGGGUUGCUCGCAACCCCUGAUGGCGACCGGCGCACGGGUGAGUAACGCGUAUCCGACCUUCCCGCGGCAGGGGCAUAACCCGGUGAAAGCCGGACUAAUUCCCCGUGGUCCCCACACAGGGCAUCCUUCGUGGGGUAUAGGAUCCGUCCGGCCGCGGACGGGGAUGCGUCCGAUUAGCUUGUUGGCGGGGUAACGGCCCACCAAGGCACCGAUCGGUAGGGGUUCUGAGAGGAAGGCCCCCCACAUUGGGACUGAGACACGGCCCAAACUCC